rnacentral:rRNA from 1 species
UACGUAGGGGGCAAGCGUUGUCCGGAAUCAUUGGGCGUAAAGAGCGCGUAGGCGGCCCUGUAAGUCCGCUGUGAAAGUCCAGGGCUCAACCCUGGAAUGCCGGUGGAAACUGUCGAGCUAGAGUCCGGAAGAGGCGAGUGGAAUUCCUGGUGUAGCGGUGAAAUGCGCAGAUAUCAGGAGGAACACCAAUGGCGAAGGCAGCUCGCUGGGACGGUACUGACGCUGAGACGCGAAAGCGUGGGGAGCAAACAGG